AGCGAACGCUGGCGGCAGGCCUAACACAUGCAAGUCGAACGGGCUCUUCGGAGCUAGUGGCGGACGGGUGAGUAACACGUGGGAACGUGCCUUUAGGUUCGGAAUAAGCCCGGGAAACUGGGUCUAAUACCGAAUGGGCCCUUCGGGGGAAAGAUUUAUCGGCUUUAGAGCGGCCCGCGUCUGAUUAGCUAGUUGGUGAGGUAAUGGCUCACCAAGGCGACGAUCAGUAGGUGGUCUGAGAGGUUGACCAGCCACAUUGGGACUGAGACACGGCCCAAACUCCUGCGGGAGGCAGCAGUGGGGAAUCUUGCGCAAUGUGCGAAAGCCUGACGCAGCCGUGCCGCGUGGAUGAUGAAGGUCUUAGGAUUGUAAAAUCCUUUCACCGGUGAAGAUAAUGACUGUAGCCGGAGAAGAAGCCCCGGCUAACUUCGUGCCAGCCGCCGCCGUAA
rnacentral:rRNA from 1 species